GCCCUUAUAGCUUAGGGGUAGAGCGUUGCACUUGUACGGCCACGAGGCAUGCAAAGGUCGGCGGUUCAAUUCCGCCUGGGGGCA